GAUGAACGCUGGCGGCGUGCCUAAUACAUGCAAGUCGAGCGAACAGACGAGGAGCUUGCUCCUCUGACGUUAGCGGCGGACGGGUGAGUAACACGUGGAUAACCUACCUAUAAGACUGGGAUAACUUCGGGAAACCGGAGCUAAUACCGGAUAAUAUAUUGAACCGCAUGGUUCAAUAGUGAAAGACGGUUUUGCUGUCACUUAUAGAUGGAUCCGCGCCGCAUUAGCUAGUUGGUAAGGUAACGGCUUACCAAGGCGACGAUGCGUAGCCGACCUGAGAGGGUGAUCGGCCACACUGGAACUGAGACACGGUCCAGACUCCUACGGGAUGCAGCAGUAGGGAAUCUUCCGCAAUGGGCGAAAGCUUGACGGAGCAACGCCGCGUGAGUGAUGAAGGUCUUCGGAUCGUAAAACUCUGUUAUUAGGGAAGAACAAAUGUGUAAGUAACUAUGCACGUCUUGACGGUACCUAAUCAGAAAGCCACGGCUAACUACGUG
rnacentral:rRNA from 1 species